UACGUAGGUGGCAAGCGUUGUCCGGAAUUAUUGGGCGUAAAGCGCGCGCAGGUGGUUUCUUAAGUCUGAUGUGAAAGCCCACGGCUCAACCGUGGAGGGUCAUUGGAAACUGGGGAACUUGAGUGCAGGAGAGAAGAGUGGAAUUCCACGUGUAGCGGUGAAAUGCGUAGAGAUGUGGAGGAACACCAGUGGCGAAGGCGGCUCACUGGACCAUAACUGACGCUGAUGCACGAAAGCUGGGGGAGCAAACAGG
rnacentral:rRNA from 1 species